GAGGGCACCCACUUUCUGUUUACUCGGACGCUGUUCGAUCUUUUCUUUAAACAGUUGACCGGGUCCACUUUUUAUAGCGUGCUUGCCUCUCCGCCUUUGUUCCUAAUUUAGUAUUCCAAAGGAGAGAUCGGAUUUUAUUUUUCGAAAAGUAACGAUAGGAAAAUUAUCGAUUUAAAUUAUAUUUUGUAAAUUAAAUAAUGUGGUUGUUAAUAAUUAAAUUAUUAUUUCGAUGUUAAUUUAUUGGUUUAUUUUUUAUUUGUGACACAUCGUAUGAUUUGCAAAUAUAAUUUAAAAUUUUGAUUAUUACUCUUUAAAAAAAAUUAAAUAACAAAAUCUUCUCUAUUAGCGAAUCAAGUUAAGCAGCAUGUAGGGUGAUAAAUAAUGGACAACCACCACCAUUUUCUUGAUGGAAACUUAAUUGAACUUGGUUUUGCAAUAUCUGUUUUUCAAAGUUGCUAUUAAAAAAUUCACCAAACAAAUUUAAUCGAUUUAAGAAGUGUCACAUACUUUCGAUAGAGUGAUUUGACAAAGAAGUUUGAUUGUUUAUUUAAAAUUUUGGAAUACACGUAUAGUUCAGAUCUCUUUGAACCAAGUUUCUUAUUGUGUGUAUUUAGAAAAAAUGUUUCAUACCUCGGCCAAAUUACUCUAGUUUACAUUAGAUAAUUGAGCCAGACGUAUAAGUGCAAAGGCUAAGUUAACAAUACAUUCGGUGUUUUAUGUAUUAAAAUUAAAAUGAUAAUAAAAAAAUAUAAACAAAUUUGAACCUAUAACCUCUAACUAAUGUUUGUAUCCAAGGACCUUGCCAAAUUGUUAAAUUGGUGCCAUUAUGAUUACUCACAAUAAUUUGUGGAAGAAACUUCCAUAAAAUAAUGAGAAAGAAAAAUAUUUUAGUCCCCAAAACAUAAAAAUAAAUCUCUAUUUAAAGUCAUCUUAUAAUUAAUUAAUCUCUUGUAGGUUGGAUUUUUUGAACGAAUAAUACCUAGGUACUCAUUUUAGAUUUGAUGCAAUGAUAUCUUAAAUGUUUUAUUAUUUUAAAAUAUAGUGUAUAUGUUAUUUAAUUUUUCUUAAACUUUAAAAAAUUAAAGAAAUACGCAUCAUCUUUUAAUUAGGCUAAUGUUAUCUUUCUAAACGGGCUAUUUGGUAGGUAGUUUGUGAUAUUUGUAUUUACGUUGUAAUCAUUGUUAAUAAUAAAAGUGGUUGGAAAUUAGGUCAUCUUGGGUCAUUAUUUGAUCGUUUGUUGGUCACCAAAACAAGAAAAUGAAAUCAACAACACUUGUUGAUCAUCGUACAUGCCUCAGUUAAGCUGACGUUGUCCAUCCUUUUAUUUGGUGCAGAAGGCCGGCCAUCGGGGAGCCAGAGUAGGCGGACCGUCUAAGGUCAUCUCCAACCGAAGGGUCCAGAGGGCCAGAGGGCCGAAAAUAGCCCUAAAACCGUCUCCAACCGAGGGCUAGGCCAGAGGGCUCUGGAAUCUGGGAGGGCCCCACGGGAUCGGAGAGGGCUGGAGGGCUGGAGGGCUGGCUUAUUUUUUUUUUAAUGUUUUCUAUUGCUGUCGGUUAAAACCGACAGCAUUAAACUGGUUUUAUUUAUUUUUUAAUAGUUCUACUAUUAGUGUCGGUUAUAGCCGACACUAAUAGUUUGAAUGUUUUUUAAUACAACGGCUAGUAGCCGUUGUAUUAUUAGGCCUUCUUUUAUUUUUUAAACUUUUUUUUUCCCUUUUUUUUCCUUUUCAUAUUAAUCAAAUUUUGUUUCAUAUUUUUUUUCAAUUCUAUUUUACAAAAUUUGUUUUCAAUUUUUUUUUUAAAUUCUAUUUUUUUCCUAUAACUUCUAUUUUACAAAAUUUGAUUCAUAUUUUAUUUCCUAUAACUUCUAUUUCACAAAAUUUGUUUCAUAAUUUUUUUCAAUUCUAUUUUUUUCCUAGGCCAUUUAUACAACAUUAAAUUAAAUUAAGUAACAUGAAACAACAUUAAACAAUAUGAAAUAACAUUAAAUAACAUUAACCAACAUACAAAUUAAUAUUAUACAACAUAAAAAAACAUUUAACAACAUGAAACUUAAACAACAUUUUUAAAAAACAUUUAAUUUAACAACAUAAAACUUAAAAGCCUACUCCAUGCUUCUUUUGGCCCAAAGAUGUGCAACAAGAUCCUGUUGUAGGUACAUAUUUAUGGCACGAGAACGUAUCAUUCUAUAGCGCCUCAUAUACUCAUUUAUAGAGAUAUUACCAGUUCUUGGAUUGAAAGGCAAAUUAGGCCCAUCAUAUAUUUUUGCUAGAGCCCUUCUUGACCUAUUUGGAUCUUCUUGGUCAUCAUCGGACUCUCCAUCAAUAUACCCAUCUCGCUCAUCCUCCACUAUCAUAUUGUGUAAUAUGAUGCAAGACAUCAUGAUGGAGUUCAAAUUUUCUCGACUCCACCCUCUUGCCGAUUCGCUGAUAAUCUUCCACCGUGCUUGUAGAAUACCGAAAGCUCUCUCAACAUCUUUCCGGUAUGCCUCUUGGUGUAAGGUAAACAACUUUUCUGCAUCAUUCCUAGGGUUUGGAAUUGCUUGGACAAGUGUUGCCCACUUUGGGUAGAUGCCAUCUGCCAAGUAAUACCCCAUAUUGUAUUCACGGCCGUUGAUGUAGUAGUCAAGUUGAGGUGCUUUACCUUCCGUCAAGUUAUUGAAGAGGGGUGAACGCCCAAGAACUGUAAUGUCAUUUUGGGAUCCAGGGACUCCAAAGAAAGCAUGCCAGAUCCAUGUGUCAUAUGAGACAACUGCCUCUAACACAACAGUUGGCUUUCUCGACCUUCCGCUAAAGCUUCAUUGCCAUCCAGUGGGACAGUUCUUCCACUCCCAAUGCAUGCAGUCUAAUGACCCUAUCAUGCCCAGAAACCCACGGUCUUCAGCUUUGUGAAGGAGUCGAUUCAGAUCUUCUUGAUUUGGCUCUCGGAGGUACUCGUCUUUGUAAACCUGAACAAUUGUGUUACAAAAUUCUUCAAGAGUAUCAAGGCAUGUAGACUCAGACAUACCAUGGGUUUCAUCCAUCGAAUCAGCUGAGGAGCCAUAUGCCAUCAUUCGGAGUGCAACAGUAACCUUCUGAUGAGGUGAGAAACCAGGGCGGCCUGCUCUGUCCCGCUUCUGUCGAAAGUAUGGAUUGACCUGCUGGACAUCACGAAGUAAACGCUCGAAGACAUGACUCCUCAUCCAGAAGCGACGUCUGAAAUCCUCUUCUGUGUACACCGAGUCGGGGUUGAAGUAGUUGUUCAUCAGAUUGGCAUGCGCCAUCGCUCUGUUUCGUGGUUUCUAAGAGCGACCAGCAACAGAGCCACCCCAUUGAGGUUGUUCCUCAGUUGGUUGACACACCAUGACCGCAGCCAUGGCUGCUGCCAUGUUUUGUGUGUUGUGUCUUACUUCAGCUUCUUCAUCAGACUCAUCAUCUUCUCGUCUCAUUUGCGCCCAUUUUGCUUCCAAUUUGGAAUUGGAUGAGGACCCCCAAUUGGAAUUGGAUGAAGAUCCAAAGUUGGAAUUCAUUGCAAACUUGAAUUGAAAGAGAUUGAAUUGCAAGAGAUUGAAUUGAAAUAGAUUGAAUUUAAAGUUGUGUGAAUUAUAGCCCAAUAUCCACCAUAUUUAUAGCAAAAAAAAUCAAAUCCAACGGCUAGCUGACGUCAGCAUGAUGUCAGCUACCAACGGCUAGCUGACAUCAUGUUGACGUCACCUAGCCGUUAGAUUUGAAUUUAAAUUGUAGUUUUUAAAUAAUAAAUUAUGUUUGGCCCUAUGGCCCUUUGGCCCUCGGUUGGAGACGGUUUUUUGUGACAGGGCUAAAACGAGCCAUCUGGCCCUCUGGCCCUCGGUUGGAGACGGAGGCAAAUAUGGCCCUGUACUGUUCAUUAAAAUAUUAAUAUCUUGGAGAAUCUUGGAGGGCCAGAGGGCUAAAACGAGCCCUCUGGCCAGCCAUCGGUUGGAGAUGGCCUAAGCCCCCUACUUUAAGGGAG
rnacentral:lncRNA from 1 species